rnacentral:rRNA from 1 species
UGGGCAACCUGCCCUCAGCUCUGGGAUAACCCCCGGGGAAACCGGGGCUAAUACCGGAUACGACCUCCGCGGGCAUCUGCGGAGGUGGAAAGGUUUUCCGGCUGAGGAUGAGCCCGCGGCCUAUCAGCUAGUUGGUGGGGUGAUGGCCCACCAAGGCGACGACGGGUAGCCGGCCUGAGAGGGUGACCGGCCACACUGGGACUGAGACACGGCCCAGACUCCGUACGGGAGGCA